GAUGAACGCUGGCGGCGUGCUUAACACAUGCAAGUCGAACGGAGUUGUUUUAAGGAAGUUUUCGGAUGGAAUUAAAACAGCUUAGUGGCGGACGGGUGAGUAACGCGUGGGUAACCUGCCUUGUACAGGGGGAUAACAACCGGAAACGGUUGCUAAUACCGCAUAAGCGCACAGUAUUGCAUGAUACAGUGUGAAAAGAUUUAUCGGUACAAGAUGGACCCGCGUCUGAUUAGCUAGUUGGUGAGGUAGUGGCUCACCAAGGCAACGAUCAGUAGCCGGCUUGAGAGAGUGAACGGCCACAUUGGGACUGAGACACGGCCCAAACUCCUACGGGUGGCAG
rnacentral:rRNA from 1 species